UAACGUUAUAGUUUAUUAAAAAUAUUGAGUUUGCGUCUCAAUGAUGGGUAGUUACUCUUAUGUUGG
rnacentral:tRNA from 1 species